GCCUGUUCGGGUCCAGGGAGGCAAUGUAUAGAGGACAGUUCCUCUUCCAAUGCCCCUGCUUCUUGCAAAAGAAGCACUCCGCCUGGCUCUGUUCGGGCUUGCACUUCUUGGUCUGACCCUGUGCAGAUGUCCCAGCAUGCAGCUGCACCUUCUUAUUCUUCUUCUUCUUGUUCUUCUUCUUCCCUUUCUUAAAGGGUCGACGACCAGAAGAAGACCCUCCCACAACAUUCACCGACUCCUUAUAGAGCUGGUGAUCCUUCUCAAAGUUCUGCAGCAACCCCAAUAAGCCGUGGUAGUUCACUGUAGGCUUUGUCAUCCGAAAAUGAGUAAGGAAGGGGAGGAAGGACUUGGGCAAUGAAUUAAGGAUCGC
rnacentral:lncRNA from 1 species